rnacentral:rRNA from 1 species
AGGUCUUGACAUCCUCUGACAACCCUAGAGAUAGGGCUUUCCCUUCGGGGACAGAGUGACAGGUGGUGCAUGGUGUCGUCGGCUCGUGUCGUGAGAUGUUGGGUUAAGUCCCGCAACGAGCGCAAGGGUUGAUCUUAGUUGCCAGCAUUUAGUUGGGCACUCUAAGGUGACUGCCGGUGACAAACCGGAGGAAGGUGGGGAUGACGUCAAAUCAUCAUGCCCCUUAUGACCUGGGCUACACACGUGCUACAAUGGACAGAACAAAGGGCUGCGAGACCGCAAGGUUUAGCCAAUCCCACAAAUCUGUUCUCAGUUCGGAUCGCAGUCUGCAACUCGACUGCGUGAAGCUGGAAUCGCUAGUAAUCGCGGAUCAGCAUGCCGCGGUGAAUACGUUCCCGGGCCUUGUACACACCGCCCGUCACACCACGAGAGUUUGCAACACCCGAAGUCGGUGAGGUAACCUUUAUGGAGCCAGCCGCCGAAGGUGGGGCAGAUGAUUGGGGUGAAGUCGUAACAAGGUAACC